rnacentral:rRNA from 1 species
CAGCCGCCACGGGAAUACGAAGGGUGCAAGCGUUACUCGGAAUUACUGGGCGUAAAGCGUGCGUAGGUGGUGGUUUAAGUCCGUUGUGAAAGCCCUGGGCUCAACCUGGGAACUGCAUUUGUGACUGGCAGGCUAGAGUAUGGCAGAGGGGGGUGGAAUUCCGCGUGUAGCAGUGAAAUGCGUAGAUAUGCGGAGGAACACCGAUGGCGAAGGCAAUCCCCUGGGCCUGUACUGACGCUCAUGCACGAAAGCGUGGGGAGCAAACAGGAUUAGAUACCCCCGUAGUCCCUGUCUCUUAUAC